ACAUUAACAAGUACAUACUAAAGAUAAACUUAAAAUAACAUGGCUGGAGAUAAUGCAUUGAAGGAUAGUCCCAGAGAACAGUCAAUGUCAGACAAACAUUUUCUUUCAAAGGCUGAAAAUCUCAACAUAAAAAAAGGAAAGAAAAUUAUGGCUUUAAAGGGCAAAAAUAAGCUUGUGGGCUUAGUCUUAGCUAGUAGUGUUGUUGGAAUUUAUGCCUACACAAUGCUAUCAGUGCGGCAAGGCAAGAUGAUGGAAGCAUUUGACAAAGUACCAGAGUGACACUGCUGACUUAUCAUAGGAUGCUCUUGUAUCAGCAGAGACUUCAUGCUUGACCUCUUCAUGUUUAAAUAGCAAAUAUUGUUAGUUUGAUUUUUUUUUUUUUCAUGAUACAGAUGUACAUUUGAUUGAGCCUAAUUAGAAUGAUCAUUUCAAACAUGUUUUAUGAAGCUUUAAAAUUCUAUGAGAACAGUAAAUAAGAGAAAAUUCUAAAUAAGAAUAAGUACCAUAGCCACUGUAAAAGUAUAAUUAUAUUGCAAACUUAUUAUUAGGAUUUUGUCCUAACAUGAGACCUGCAUAACAUAACAUAACCUUUUAAAAAAAUCUUUAAAAAAUUUUAUUUUAUAGUACAAUUGAUGCACUAAUUUCACCUUUUUAAUGUUUGGUCUGAAGAGUGAAUGCAAUAUGAUUUUGAGUUCAUUUAUCACUUUCAUCAUUGUAUUAUUUAUGUGAUUCAGAAUGGAUGUAAAAUUGUUUACAGAGUAUUGGAUAUUGAAGAAAAACGUUUGUGUACAUAUUAAACUAUUAAUGAAAAAAAAUAAA
rnacentral:sRNA from 1 species